UACGAAGGGGGCUAGCGUUGUUCGGAAUCACUGGGCGUAAAGCGCACGUAGGCGGAUCUUUAAGUCAGGGGUGAAAUCCCGAGGCUCAACCUCGGAACUGCCUUUGAUACUGGGGAUCUCGAGUCCGGGAGAGGUGAGUGGAACUGCGAGUGUAGAGGUGAAAUUCGUAGAUAUCUGGAGGAAUACCGGUGGCGAAGGCGGCAUCCUGGACCGGCAUUGACGCUGAUGAGCGAAAGCUAGGGGAGCAACGGG
rnacentral:rRNA from 1 species